rnacentral:rRNA from 1 species
AUGGCCAUGGCCACCGGUAGCAGCUGUUCGCGACAGGCAGCGGCGCCGGCGAGCAGCGGCAACACACAACGGGAGCAGCAGUUAAAAGCAGCAGCAGGAGGAGGAAACGGCAGCAGCGUAGCCGCAAGUAGGCAGCAGGAGCAGCAGCUACGGGAGCAGGGGGCACGGACGUUGCGGGCGCGGAGCAGAGGGCAGCGGGCCGGGGCGAGGCUGCACGCAGGAGGCAAGGCCGAUUCAGGGGGCGGCCGAUGGCAGCAACAUCGCAGUAGCCACCAGCGGGGCGAGCAGGGGGCGCCGAGGCGCAGCAGAGGCGGCCGGCCGGAGUUCAGGCAUGCCGCGGAAUCGGAGCUGCGGGGCACGGGGAGAUGGUUUGGCGAGUGCCGCGGGUUCCUGGGGAGCCAAUGA